AACGUAGGUUCCGAGCGUUAUCCGGAUUUACUGGGCGUAAAGCGCGCUCAGGCGGUUUGGCAAGUCGGGCAUGAAAUCUCUCGGCUCAACCGGGAGAGGUUGUCCGAUACUGCUGGACUUGAGGGCAGUAGAGGGUGGUGGAAUUCCGGGUGUAGUGGUGAAAUGCGUAGAUAUCCGGAGGAACACCAGUGGCGAAAGCGGCCACCUGGACUGCUCCUGACGCUGACACGCGAAAGCUAGGGGAGCGAACGGG
rnacentral:rRNA from 1 species